rnacentral:lncRNA from 1 species
ACUUUGACAAUGUGGGCGGCGGCGUGUAGGACAGGUCUGGUCGUACACGGAGGGGAGAUGUCACACCGGAAAGGUGUGUGCGAGAAGGGAAUAGCACCGGAAGAGGGUGGCCAGACGGGAAGUUUACGGUGGCGCAGGAAUUGCACGAAAGAGAAUAGCAAAACUUUUUUUUUGUUGUUGACGGAAACGGAAGAGCAAAACUGAACUUAGGUUUAUU